UACGUAGGGUCCGAGCGUUGUCCGGAGUUACUGGGCGUAAAGCGCGCGCAGGUGGUCUUCUAAGCCCGGCGUGAAAGCCCCCGGCUCAACCGGGGAGGGUCGUCGGGGACUGGGAGACUUGAGGGCGGCAGGGGCUGGUGGAAUCCCCGGUGUAGCAGUGAAAUGCGCAGAGAUCGGGAGGAACACCAGUGGCGAAGGCGGCCUUCUGGACCAAUACUGACGCUCAUGCACGAAAGCGUGGGGAGCAAACAGG
rnacentral:rRNA from 1 species